rnacentral:rRNA from 1 species
UGGGGAAUUUUGGACAAUGGGGGCAACCCUGAUCCAGCCAUGCCGCGUGCAGGAUGAAGGUCUUCGGAUUGUAAACUGCUUUUGUCAGGGACGAAAAGGAUUGUGUUAAUACCAUGAUCUGCUGACGGUACCUGAAGAAUAAGCACCGGCUAACUACGUGCCAGCAGCCGCGGUAAUACGUAGGGUGCAAGCGUUAAUCGGAAUUACUGGGCGUAAAGCGUGCGCAGGCGGUUCUGUAAGACAGAUGUGAAAUCCCCGGGCUCAACCUGGGAAUUGCAUUUGUGACUGCAGGACUAGAGUUCAUCAGAGGGGGGUGGAAUUCCAAGUGUAGCAGUGAAAUGCGUAGAUAUUUGGAAGAACACCAAUGGCGAAGGCAGCCCCCUGGGAUGCGACUGACGCUCAUGCACGAAAGCGUGGGGAGCAAACA